UAUUUAUCUUUUCCAAAUUUCAUUUGGAGGACCUGUGGCACAGAGUUGUUAGGUUACAAAGGAAGUUUGGAGUCAGUCUAAGACUCCCAGUUAUCCUCUUUGCUAACUUUCUGCUACUUCCAUUCAAUGAUGGGCCUGGCUUCUUUACCAAGGCUGAUGGUUUGGAUGAGGAGAAAAACAUCUAGCAAUUGUUAACAUGCUCUUCCACUAGAUAUGACAAAUCUUUCUCACCAAAUUUGUGUCAUAUUUUACAAUUACAUUUUCCUCUUGAAAACUAGGCUUCAGUUUGUGACUU
rnacentral:lncRNA from 1 species